GACGAACCGUGCGAACGUUGUUCGGAAUCACUGGGCUUAAAGGGCGCGUAGGCGGGCCUUCAAGUCCGGGGUGAAAUCCUCCAGCCUAACUGGAGAAGAGCCUCGGAGACUGAGGGCCUCGAGGAGGGUAGGGGCGUGCGGAACUCUGGGUGGAGCGGUGAAAUGCAUUGAUAUCCAGAGGAACUCCGGUGGCGAAGGCGGCACGCUGGGACCCUUUCGACGCUGAGGCGCGAAAGCCAGGGGAGCAAACGGGG
rnacentral:rRNA from 1 species